UUCAUUUAAAAAAAUCAACUCAUUACUCAAACUUAUUUUCUUUGCAUCCAAACACUCCUCACAAAAUCUCUUCAAUUUUAUCGGGAAAACCUCAUCAUGUCGUGGCAAGUGUACGUUGAUGAUCACCUUCUAUGUGACAUCGACAUCGAAGGUAACCACCUCCCUUCUACUGCUAUCCUCGAUCAAGACGGUAACAUUUGGGCUCGGAGUCACAAUUUCCAUCAGUUCAAGUAUGAGGAAAUAACUGGUAUCAUGAAUGGUUUUGCUGAAUAACUGGUAAAGGAUCCUUGUACCUUAGGCCUUUUCUCAUAGGAACGAGCCCGGUUCUUGGUCUUGAUGGCACAAAGUAGAGCCAAGAGCAAAGGAUUUUCAUAUGUGUUAUACCUUGAUUCAGUCAACAAGAAAAAUUUGGAAGAAGUCUCCUCUUGUAACAUUUUUAUUGCCAAGAAAAUAGAAGAAAAAAAAGGUUGCUCGAUCAGAUCUGGAGAGGGUCGUUUGUGUUCAUUCCGUGCCAUCAUCAGAUCAAACUCCCACAACAAAGCAUAAUUCUGCUUUUGAGAAUGGGAAUCUAUCCCGUAAAAUCUCCAGUGCAAGCUCCCUUGGAAGCAUGGAAGAAAACUAUUUUCUUCAAGCAUCACAAGAUUCAUCUGACAAUUAUUCUGAACGGAGAAACCCAAGAGAACUAAACACGGGUUCUUACUAUAUGAAGAGCAUGACACUCGGUUCUUUUGAGGCUGGACUUGGUUAGAAGGAGGGGGAACUUGCUUCAUGUAUGUCGUGCUUGGUAUGAUUUGUUGCCUUCAUUUUCUGUCAUCAUACCUUCCAGGGAUAUCUCUUUGGAUCCGCAGUUGAAACUACAACAACAACAGUUAUCUUGUCCUAGCACCGCCAAUAUGCACUGCAAACUAGAGAGCUCAAGCGAGUUAUUUAUGAUCUAGCAUAAAGCCAACUUACUAUUUUGGUUGGAUUUGGAUCUCCUAUUCCAUUAUUUACCUUUUUACAUUCAGAACUAAAACUUUUUGGAGUAUUUAUCAAAUAUUUUGUUUAGGAUGAUGAUUACUGUUCUUUAUGAAAUUAGUCUAUAGUUUAUCACAGUAAAUUUUAAGAAACUCA